UACGGGAGGCAGCAGGGAGUGAAUAUUGCACAAUGGGCGCAAGCCUGAUGCAGCCAUGCCGCGUGUAUGAAGAAGGCCUUCGGGUUGUAAAGUACUUUCAGUCGUGAGGAAGGUGUUAAGGUUAAUAACCUUAGCAAUUGACGUUAGCGACAGAAGAAGCACCGGCUAACUCCGUGCCAGCAGCCGCGGUAAUACGGAGGGUGCGAGCGUUAAUCGGAAUUACUGGGCGUAAAGGGCACGCAGGCGGUUAAUUAAGUUGGAUGUGAAAUCCCCGGGCUUAACCUGGGAAUGGCAUUCAAGACUGGUUAGCUAGAGUCUUGUAGAGGGGGUAGAAUUCCAUGUGUAGCGGUGAAAUGCGUAGAGAUGUGGAGGAAUACCGGUGGCGAAGGCGGCCCCUGGACAAAGACUGACGCUCGAUGUGCGAAAGCGUGGGGAGCGAAACAGGGAUUAGAUACC
rnacentral:rRNA from 1 species